CAGCCGUAAACUAUGCGCGUUAGGUGUACUGGUGACCACGAGUCACCGGGGUGCCGAAGGGAAACCGUGAAACGUGCCGCCUGGGAAGUACGGUCGCAAGGCUGAAACUUAAAGGAAAUUGGCGGGGAGGCACCGCAACGGGAGGAGCGUGCGGUUUAAUUGGAUUCAACGCCGAAAAACUACACCAGCAGCGACUGUUACAUGAAAGUCAGGUUGAUGACCUUACUAGAUUUUCAGAGAGGUGGUGCAUGGCGUAGACGUCU
rnacentral:rRNA from 1 species